GCGCCUGCCAGGCUCUGCACCUGCCAAGCCGCUCGCCACACUGUUCCCAAAACAAUUCUGUGGCUUUGAGCUGCGUCGGUCCAGGCAAGUAAUGUUCAGGUUGCCCUCUCAUCCUGCCCUUUCAAGCUUGUUGGCAUCGGGCGGCCAGCUCACAAGCAGCAGCUGCUCGGGAUCAAAGGCUCCCAGUCCGGCUCCUGUCUGUCAGAGACGGCAGGCUUAGACACUGUGUUUUGCCCUGCGGGCCCAUUGGUUUUCCCUCUUCCCGCAGCCCGGUGCCAUCAACCCAAUCGGAGUCCAGGGCCCUCUCCGAAAGGGAGCUUCCCCAGUCGCGUCCUGUGCUGUGUAGUGCCUUGUCCUUCACGCAGAGAUAUAAUGAAGUGCAUUCAGUUGCAUAACGAGCAGUUUAAGAGCUAUACUGUCCAGUGGUGUUGGUAAGCUAGUAAUUCUCUCCUGGGUACUCACGCUUCAAUGUAUGCGCAAUGUCAUGUCAGGCAAAGCGCAGACCUCCGCUGCCGACGGGCAUCAAAAGUUGUCCAAAUAGAAGCGGUGUGGUCGAAAAAACUUAGGAUAUGCGUGGGCUAUCAUCCAGGGCUGCUAUGCGGAACGGCGCGACAUCUCAGCAGGAAGGAACGUCGAGCAGCCGGAGCCUAAAGCGCAUCAAAGUAACGGCGUCACCCUAUUGGACCCCGCUUGUGUGAGACUGCCAAAGAUUGGACAGGUAUGGCCC
rnacentral:lncRNA from 1 species